GUGGUACUUGCUUCACUAUCAUAUAUACCAAACUUGGAACAAUACAGAGAAGAUUAGCAUGGCCCCUACAAAAAAGUGACGCAAAUUUUCUUGAAGAGUUUCAUAUAUUU
ensembl:snRNA U6 U6 spliceosomal RNA